ensembl:snoRNA
GCAGACUCACUCUGUGCUGAACUGCAGCCUUCAGUUCAGGUACUUUUUCAGUCUGCGAGAGCAAUAAUUCACGGAAGUGACAAUUGCCUUCUUUCUUGUAGAAGGCUGUUACAAUGGCUGUUGGGACACUGCU